rnacentral:lncRNA from 1 species
UCUUCCCUCACUGGAAAUGCAUCUAAGUGAGAGACAUAGCUGGCCACGUGAAAAGUAGGGCGUUGAAGGAAAAGUCUCCUAUCUACCCUCUCAGGCUUUUUCAUUACUGAAUAAUGGAGGAAGGGAAGAAACUUUCUGCCUUUCUGCUUACCCCUGUACGAAUUCACAGGAACACAGCUGCCAAAAGUGCAGGCAAAGAACCCUGGCUGAGCUGUCAUCAAAAGGAGUUCUAGUUUCUGGAAGCAUCACGCUGUCUGCCUGUUUGAGACCUGGCCCUCCUUUUUUGACAUCAGGCUUCACCGCCAUCCCUCAGCCAUGCCUCAAAGUUCAAGCUUUUAGUGCUCCAAGGACAACUCUCAUGAAUACAUAA